UGGCUGCAGUCGAGAAUCUUUUGCAAUGGGCGAAAGCCUGACAAUGCGACGCCGCGUGAGCGAUGAAGGCCUUCGGGUUGUAAAGCUCUGUUUGCCUGGAAGAAAUACAUUAGUUUAAUAAGCUAAUGGGAUGACGGUACAGGCAGAGGAAGUCACGGCUAACUCCGUGCCAGCAGCCGCGGUAAUACGGAGGUGGCAAGCGUUGUUCGGAUUUAUUGGGUGUAAAGGGCAUGUAGGUGGUUUUAUAAGUCGAGUGUGAAAUCCUUUGGCUCAACCAAAGAAAUGCGCUCGAAACUGUUUAACUUGAGUUCAGGAGAGGAGAGUGGAAUUCCCGGUGUAAGAGUGAAAUCUGUAGAGAUCGGGAGGAACACCAGUGGCGAAAGCGACUCUCUAGACUGAUACUGACACUGAAAUGCGAAAGCUAGGGGAGCAAACAGGAUUAGAUACCCUAGUAGUC
rnacentral:rRNA from 1 species